AUGUGCUCAGGUGAUGAGCAGAGGUCACGAGGAUUUGUGACCUCAUCAGUCGGUGGGGGGUUUCAGCAGCUUUAUGGACUGGUUCAGUUCUUUAUGCCUCUCAUGCUGUCAGUGUCAUGGUCUAAGGUGUAUUCCUGCUGUCACUCCCUGUCUUUUGAGUUUUCCCUCUGCAGGUGGGCGUGUCUGGAGGUGACCAAGCUGCAGCAGAUCUGCUCAUCAGCUGGCCAGGGGUAUUUAAGCAGCUGGGAGACUCCUACACUUCGCUGGAUGAUUACUCUACCUGGAUCAACCUCCACUUUCAUCCCCGACUGGCUAUUUCUCUGGAACUCAACCUGCUUGUCUCUCAGCUGCUCCCUGGCCAGAACCACCUCCAGCUGCCCACCUAAGCUCCCUGGAUCUCCACAAACCCAGCUCUCUCCACGUCUCCCCUUCUGGAUCUCAGUCUCAGGAAUCCCCUCUCAGCCNCAACUCAGCUCCCUCCACGUCUCCCCUUCUGGAUCUCAGUUUCAGGAAUCCCCUCUCAGCCCAGACCGGACCACUCCUCCCUUGAGCUACUUUUCCCCCUCUCCAGACUGUAAGUCCCCCACACAAUUCCGAUUCCUUGUUUUCCCCUUUGAGUUGGAUCUGACUCCCAUCUGUCCACAGAUUUCCCUCACGGGCUCCCUUUGUGACAGAACUCAGCUGCGUUCAAGCUGCUCCCUUGGUUUCCUUUUAAUUCUUAUUUAAAGCACUUUCCCCAUCUCAAGCUGAUUCUGUAUGUCGUGGGUUAGACAUCUACACCACAACAUGACAGUCAGAACCCUGGAAAAGUUCAAAGUCAUCGAUGACAGUCUGAGAAACUGAGCUGAGCAGAAAAUCAGGAUUUUUAUUAAGAAAAAAAAAAAGAUCAAACUAGAAAACUAGGUUGAAUAUUUGACCGAGAGCAGAAGAGGCAACCGUUGUGGACCCUUUAGGCCGGGCCUUCACAAUCAGAAUCAGGGAGUUUGUUCUAUCUGUAAUCAUCAGGCUCCGGAUGCAGGUUUGCUUCCAGCUUGUGCCUGUUACCAUGGAAACUCAUGACAGAAACCCAGCAAGCCCCAGGUCAACCGGCGAAGAAAACGAUAAGAAAUGUUAACCCUGCUGCCAUUAGGGUUACCAUGGUAACAACCAACAUGUCUGUUGGCUGGAUGAGCUCUUUGAUGAAAAAAGGUAUUUCUAUAAAGUUCAUCUGAGCCAGUCAUUAAUGCAUUUUUCCUCUGAUAGCUCCGUAUUCUGUGUUCUUCGUACUCUGGUAGCUGUUCUGACAGCUCCUUAUGGAAAUGUCUCCAAAUGCAUGUUUUUUGUUCCUCCAGUCAGUAUCCCAGCUGUUUCUGGACCACCUCUUAAUAUCAGAGACUCAAAUCCUUGUUGCUGACAUCUGGUGAGAGACUGAAAAGUGCAUCACCUUUCCACAGACCCACUGAACAAUUGACCUCUGACCUAAUGGGCUAAGCUUCGUGAUGAAUCAUAUCCAAAUGCAUCCUUUGAUUUACUUCCAACAUCUGAUCUGAGUUGGGAAUGAGAAUUGUGAUUGCCUUCAAGCUGCUGCUUCAGAUUUCUGAAUCUUGUCACUAAUGUUGUAAUCACACCGGUGCAAAUGACAGAAUGAAAAGACAGUGUGAGGAGAGACGAGGUCACAGAAAGGCUACGGAGCUGAACAGGCAGUCGUCCGUCAUAAUUCACCACCGUCUCCCAUUCCCACUGAAAGGUAGACCGACUUCAUUUAUCUGCAGUGUAAUUCCUCACACCAGCUUCCAUAUGCUGCUCGUCACAACAACGUAACCAUAGACCGGUUCUGGAAACUUAAACUCCAAUAAAACGAGUCUCAGUGGAGAAGAUGAUCAAACACUGAUGGUGAUUCUGUUUAACUUGGUCCAACAAAUCAGGAAAGAUUUUAUUUCAGCACAACAAGGAUGGAGGUUUUCCAACUCCUCUAAUUCUCAGCCUGUUGGUGUAGAACUGGGUCGGACUGUUCCAGGUACAAACGUGUUUACCUGCAGACGAGGUUCAUAUGAGUCCUUGUUACCGCUUUACUCGCCACAAUCAUGAGUCUGAUCAACUCAAAAAGACAGAUGGACGAAAAAUCUCAAAACCAAAAACAGUCAUCACAUUUAGAGAAGAGUGGUGGGCGUUGCCAACACCCACACGCAGUUGGCCACGCCCAUGGGACCAAACAGCUGAUGAAGACACGCCCACUAACACCUGUUAACACUUCUUUUUUUUCCCGUGUCCUGUCUGGCGGUGAAGCAAACAUAAUUGAUGUCUGAAUGCUGGUAACAAGCCUUACAGAUUUACUCUCAGGUGGAGCAUCAAAGCGUCUGCUUUUAAUGUCACGCCUGAUACUUAAAACUUUAUUGUUAUUGUUUUUGAAUGCUUUGUAAUUCCGACCAGACACGGAGUCAGAGGUGAAAGAGAAAGGAAAAGACAAAAGGUGGGGGUGGGGGUUCCACAAAAAUGAACAAUAAUGAACAAGAGUCUGCUUCUAGACCUGCAGAAAGAAAAAGAAUAGAAAAAAAUGGGACACAACAAUAAAAUCAGGAGCAAGCUAUCACCGCGUCAACCUGAUGAUGAAAUAUACAAUCAGCAUUGUUUAACUGAACAAUCACAUGAUAAUAAAUCAUAGUGCAUUUAGUGGCAACCAUAGUCUUAAGACCUGUGUUUAACGUGCCCAAACCCAUACUUUUGAGAGCACCAUGUGAGCACCUGUGUGUGUACACGCGCUUG
ensembl:lncRNA